rnacentral:rRNA from 1 species
GAUGAACGCUGGCGGCGUGCCUAAUACAUGCAAGUCGAGCGAACGGACGAGAAGCGUGCGUUUCUGAUGUUAGCGACGGACGGGUAAGUAACACGUGGAUAACCUAUCUAUAAGAGUUGAAUAACUGCGGGAAACCGGAACUAAUACCGGGUAAUAUUUCGAACCGGAUGGUUCAGGAGUGUAAGAGGGUCUGGCGGUCACUUAUAGAUUGAUCCGCUCUUCGGUGGGGAAGUGGUAGGGUAACGGCUUACCAAGGCAACGAUGCAUUGCCGACCCGAGAGCGUGUUCCGCCACAGUGGAGCUGACAGGCGGCACAGACUCCGAGGGGAGGCAGAGGUAGCUACUCUUCCCAAAUGGGCGAAAGCCUGACGGAGCGGUGCCGGGUGGGUGCUGAAGGGCUUCGGGUGGUAAGACUCUGUUAGUAGGGUAGAACAUAUGCGUAAGUGACUGUGCACUGUGUGACGGUACCUAAUAAGAAAGCACCGGCUAACUACGUG